AUUGAACGCUGGCGGCAGGCCUAACACAUGCAAGUCGAGCGGAUGAAGGGAGCUUGCUCCUGGAUUCAGCGGCGGACGGGUGAGUAAUGCCUAGGAAUCUGCCUGGUAGUGGGUGAUAACGUCCGGAAACGGGCGCUAAUACCGCAUACGUCCUGAGGGAGAAAGUGGGGGAUCUUCGGACCUCACGCUAUCAGAUGAGCCUAGGUCGGAUUAGCUAGUUGGUGGGGUAAAGGCCUACCAAGGCGACGAUCCGUAACUGGUCUGAGAGGAUGAUCAGUCACACUGGAACUGAGACACGGUCAAGACUCCUAAGGGAGGCAGCAGUGGGGAAUAUGGGACAAUGGGCGAAAGCCUGAUCCAGCCAUGCCGAGUGUGUGAAGAAGGUCUUCGGAGUGUAAAGCACUUUAAGUUGGGAGGAAGGGCAGUAAGUUAAUACCUUGCUGUUUUGACGUUACCAACAGAAUAAGCACCGGCUAACUUCGUG
rnacentral:rRNA from 1 species